GUGAACAGAAAUCAACCACCCGGCGAAAUCCGACCGGUCCGAUGGAGGAUUUUUGAAGCGGAUCGGGCUUAAUCGGUUUGCGGUUAUGGUCGGAAGGAAGAAAAGGGUUGUGGCAGAUCUACACGGUCGGAUUCGGAGAUUGGUUUUGAGUCCGUCGGAAUCCGAAUCCGACCGAAGAUAACAGUUAGUAAUGGUUAGGCCCAACGAAUUCCUAACCUCAGUACAGCCCAAUCUGAAAUUCUACAUCUUGGUGCUUCCAAUUUUGCAAACCCUAAUCCAUUCCUUAUUCCCAGCCCAAUCUGAAAAUCUAUAUAUUGGUGUUUGUUGCAAACCCUAAUCUAUUCCUUCGAGCGGCGCUGAUUCUUCUUCCUGUUAGUUUGACGUCGUUGUGCUAUGAAGCUUUUUCUCCCACCACCAUCUCCGUUGCCGCCGUUGCAAUCAUCUCAGAUUAGAUAAUGUUUAAGUUGCAGAAACUAUUCCAUUGAUGUUGGUCUGUUGCACAAAAGUUUCAUUGUUGUUGGUCUGCUUGGUUCAACAAUUGUCUGGAUAAAAGAACAGCAGAAUGAUUAUGGCAGUGGAUGCAGUGUUUGUUUCAUACAGCAAGAUUUAACAUUUUUAAUGUGAUUAUCUAAUGAAUGUCUAUGUAUUCAUUAAAAAAAUCAGUUUUUGAAAUGAAACUUGGAAAAAUGUAAUUUAUGUUAUGUAUAUGUAUCAACCAGAUUUUUGUUUCA